UACGGGGGGAGCAAGCGUUGUUCGGAUUUACUGGGCGUAAAGGGCGCGUAGGCGGUCGUGACAAGUCACUUGUGAAAUCUCCGGGCUUAACUCGGAACGGUCAAGUGAUACUGUCGGGCUAGAGUGCGGAAGAGGCGAGUGGAAUUCCUGGUGUAGCGGUGAAAUGCGCAGAUAUCAGGAGGAACACCUAUUGCGAAGGCAGCUCGCUGGGACGUAACUGACGCUGAGACGCGAAAGCGUGGGGAGCAAACAGG
rnacentral:rRNA from 1 species